rnacentral:rRNA from 1 species
AAGAACGACGCUGGGCGGCAUGCCUAACACAUGCAAGUCGAACGAGACCGUUCGGGUCUAGGUGGCGCGACGGGUGCGUAACGCGGUGGGAAUCUCGCCCCUUCGGGUUCGGAAAUAACACAGAAGUAAAUUUGUGCUAAUACCGGAUAAUGACUUCGGUACCAAAGUAUUUAUCGCCGGAGGGAUGAGCCCGCGUAAGAUUAGCUUGUUGGUGGGGUAAUGGCCUACCAAGGCGACGAUCUUUAGCUGGUCUGAGAGGAUGAUCAGCCACACUGGGACUGAGACACGGCCCAGACUCCUACGGGAGGCAGCAGUGGGGAAUAUUGGACAAUGGGCGAAAGCCUGAUCCAGCAAUGCCGCGUGAGUGAUGAAGGCCUUAGGGUUGUAAAGCUCUUUUACCAGGGAUGAUAAUGACAGUACCUGGAGAAUAAGCUCCGGCUAACUCCGUG